rnacentral:rRNA from 1 species
UGCAAGUCGAACGAGCGAGAGAGAGCUUGCUUUCUCAAGCGAGUGGCGAACGGGUGAGUAACGCGUGAGGAACCUGCCUCAAAGAGGGGGACAACAGUUGGAAACGACUGCUAAUACCGCAUAAGCCCACAGGUCGGCAUCGACCAGAGGGAAAAGGAGCAAUCCGCUUUGAGAUGGCCUCGCGUCCGAUUAGCUAGUUGGUGAGGUAACGGCCCACCAAGGCAACGAUCGGUAGCCGGACUGAGAGGUUGAACGGCCACAUUGGGACUGAGACACGGCCCAGACUCCUACGGGAGGCAGCAGUGGGGAAUAUUGCACAAUGGGGGAAACCCUGAUGCAGCGACGCCGCGUGGAGGAAGAAGGUCUUCGGAUUGUAAACUCCUGUUGUUGAGGAAGAUAAUGACGGUACUCAACAAGGAAGUGACGGCUAACUACGUGCCAGCAGCCGCGGUAAAACGUAGGUCACAAGCGUUGUCCGGAAUUACUGGGUGUAAAGGGAGCGCAGGCGGGAAGACAAGUUGGAAGUGAAAUCUAUGGGCUCAACCCAUAAACUGCUUUCAAAACUGUUUUUCUUGAGUAGUGCAGAGGUAGGCGGAAUUCCCGGUGUAGCGGUGGAAUGCGUAGAUAUCGGGAGGAACACCAGUGGCGAAGGCGGCCUACUGGGCACCAACUGACGCUGAGGCUCGAAAGUGUGGGUAGCAAACAGGAUUAGAUACCCUGGUAGUCCACACCGUAAACGAUGAUUACUAGGUGUUGGAGGAUUGACCCCUUCAGUGCCGCAGUUAACACAAUAAGUAAUCCACCUGGGGAGUACGACCGCAAGGUUGAAACUCAAAGGAAUUGACGGGGGCCCGCACAAGCAGUGGAGUAUGUGGUUUAAUUCG